rnacentral:lncRNA from 1 species
UUCGAACGAUAACUUUAAAAUAAAAUCCUAGUUCUCCGGGAUUAAAGUGUGUGUACGUCGAACGAGAAGUUCCUAAGGUCCAACUACGUGUUUCAAAUGAUGGAACAGCCUCGGAAGACGCUCGGUCACCCAGGUGGUCAAACUUUUCAAAUUGGGUCAACGGGGCCCACGGGCCUACAACUUCCGAUUUCUGAUCCGAAAGUUCCAAUGGGUUCAACAAGGUUUAAUAUACAUGUCAUGCAAGUUUAGUCUGAAUCGAACGGUCGGAUCGCUUGCGAUCGCACGAUCGGAUGGUUACCGUUUAACCUAAUCUUUGAAUUAUUGAAUCGAAGAAUCCGUGACUCCGAUUCACGACACGCGAAUUCCUACACGAUCCUAGAGAUGCCUAGAUCAACAUAUAUGAAAAUGGAGUCAAUCCAACGGUCCAACCAUAUCUAAUCAGGAUAAUGCCUAAUAUGCGAUAUCCAAUCGACAGUCAAAUGAUAUCCAAAUUCAAAUCCGAGUGCAUCAUCAUGCUCGGGACGACAUGGGGAUCAUUUUAGGACCCAAUGGCCCGUCAAAGUGGCCCACGCGCCGGCAGCGCGAGGGUGCCCAAGGUAAUUCCGGCGAUCGGAAAAUCUCCAAAC